UUCUAUGGCCAUACCACCCUGAAUGCACCCAGUCUCUUCUGAUCUCAAAAGCUAGGCAGGGUCGAGCCUGGUUAGUACUUGGAUGGGAGAUAAUUAACCUGUUUUUUAGUUUAUAAUAGGAU
ensembl:rRNA 5S_rRNA 5S ribosomal RNA